rnacentral:rRNA from 1 species
AGUGAACGCUGGCGGUUGGCCUAACACAUGCAAGUCGAACGGCAGCACAGUAAGAGCUUGCUAUUACGGGUGGCGGGUGGCGGACGGGUGAGGAAUACAUCGGAAUCUACUUUUUCGUGGGGGAUAACGUAGGGAAACUUACGCUAAUACCGCAUACGACCUACGGGUGAAAGCAGGGGAUCUUCGGACCUUGCGCGAAUGAAUGAGCCGAUGUCGGAUUAGCUAGUUGGCGGGGUAAAGGCCCACCAAGGCGACGAUCCGUAGCUGGUCUGAGAGGAUGAUCAGCAAAACUGGAACGGAGACACGGUCCAGACUCCUACGGGAGGCAGCAGUGGGGAAUAUUGGACAAUGGGCGCAAGCCUGAUCCAGCCAUACCGCGUGGGUGAAGAGGGCCUUCGGGUUGUAAAGCCCUUUUGUUGGGAAAGAAAAGCAGCAGGUUAAUACCCCGCUGUUCUGACGGUACCCAAAGAAUAAGCACCGGCUAACUUCGUG